rnacentral:rRNA from 1 species
CAGCAGCCGCGGUAAUACGUAGGGUGCAAGCGUUAAUCGGAAUUACCGGGCGUAAAGCGUGCGCAGGCGGUUAUAUAAGACAGAUGUGAAAUCCCCGGGCUCAACCUGGGAACUGCAUUUGUGACUGUAUAGCUAGAGUACGGCAGAGGGGGAUGGAAUUCCGCGUGUAGCAGUGAAAUGCGUAGAUAUGCGGAGGAACACCGAUGGCGAAGGCAAUCCCCUGGGCCUGUACUGACGCUCAUGCACGAAAGCGUGGGGAGCAAACAGGAUUAGAUACCCCAGUAGUCCCUGUCUCUUAUAC